rnacentral:rRNA from 1 species
GACGAACGCUGGCGGCGUGCUUAACACAUGCAAGUCGAACGAAGUGUCGAACGGGUGAUUAAUACGUGGGUAACCUGCCCUCUUUUUUGGAUUAAGCCUUUGAAACGGGGUCUAAUACCGAAUAAAGGGGGAUGGGCUCGCGGCCUAUCAGCUUGUUGGUGGGGUGAUGGCCUACCACGGCGGUGACGGGUAGCCGGCCUGAGAGGGUGACCGACCUCAUUGGGACUGAGAUACGGACCAGGCUCCUACGGGAGGCAGCAGUGGGGGAUAUUGCACAAUGGGCGAAAGCCUGAUGCAGCGACGCGGCGGGGGGGAUGAAGGCUGGAGGGUUGUAAACCUCUUUCGCUAUCGAAGGGGUAGGUGGAGAAGAAGCGCCGGCUAACUACGAGACAGCAGCCGCGGUAAUA